rnacentral:rRNA from 1 species
AUACGUAGGGGGCGAGCGAUGUACGGAAUGACUGGGCGUAAAGGGCGUGUAGGCGGCGGUGUAAGUCUGGAGUGAAAGUCCCGCAUUCAAUGUGGGAAUUGCUUUGGAUACUGCAGUGCUAGAGUGCGGAAGAGGUAAGUGGAAUUCCCGGUGUAGCGGUGAAAUGCGUAGAGAUUGGGAGGAACACCAGUGGCGAAGGCGACUUACUGGGCCGUAACUGACGCUGAGGCGCGAAAGCGUGGGGAGCGAACAGGAUUAGAUACCCUGGUAGUCCACGCGGUAAACGAUGAAUGCUAGGUGUUGCGGGUAUCGACCCCUGCAGUGCCGGAGUAAACACAAUAAGCAUUCCGCCUGGGGAGUACGGCCGCAAGGUUGAAACUCAAAGGAAUUGGCGGGG